AUGGCAAUGGAGGGAAGAGGCGGUGGUCAUGGUUUCCUGGAGAAGGAGCACUUGGUGCUGUUCCAGCGCGGCACAGACCAGUGAAAUGCUGAUUCUAGCAUUUGGGAUGAUACAGCAUUGAUAAAAGUUUACAAUAAAGCUGUGGCUUCAUUUAAGCAUUCUCUAAAGAAUGGUGAUAUUUCUGAAGCUUCAGGUAAACCAAAAGGCAGGUAAAAGAUAACCUGCUAAGAAGAAUAAAAGCCAAGAAAAGAAUACCACAAUUCCUUUGAAGCAGUAUAAAAUUGGUGACAAAUAUUCUGCCAUUUGGUCAGAAGAUAGCUGCAUUUACCCAGCUAUCAUUGCUUCAAUUGUUUUUAAGAGAGAAACCUAUGUUGUGGUUUACACUGGAUAUGGAAAUAGAGAGGAGCAAAAUCUGUCUUAUCUACUUUCCCUAUGUCUAAAGUAACUAAUAAUAUAGGACAGAAUGCUCAAGAGAAUGAAAAUGAAAGUCAAAUUUUAAGAGAUGACAGUGAGAACUCCUCCAGGUCUCCUGGAAAUCAACCGAAUAACAGCAAGUCUAAAGCUCCUCGAUGGAAAUCUUUUCUCCCACCAUCAUCCCUGAUACCAGGAUCAAAACUGGGACCAGGAAAGCCAGAUCUAAAAUUCAGUGGCCCACCACCACCACCACACUUCCAAUCAUGCUGGUUGCCUCCAUUUCUUACUGGACCACCAAUAAUUCCCCCACCACUGCCCACAUGUCCAGAUUCUCUUGAUGAUGCUGGUGCUUUGGGAAGUAUGUUAAUCUCUUGGUACAUGAGUGGCUAUCAUACUGGUUACUAUAUGGGUUUCAAACAAAAUUUAAAAAGAAGGAAGGCACUCACAUUUUAAUUAA